rnacentral:lncRNA from 1 species
CAGGUUUCCAUUUGCAUCUGGCUUUUGUGUGGCACUAGAAGAGAUCAGCUUUUUGCAAGCAUGGGGCUGAUGAACGCAUUUGCACAAAGGGAGACGGCGGAGUAGCAGGAGUUUGCAAGCUGCUUCAUUAACUUGGAGCCAGUGGAAUGUCUGGGAUCGUCUGUGAUUUGGAAACCGGUGGCAGAAUGUUCCCGCGUUUCUGGUCCUCAUCAGUCAGGGCUGGACAGAUGCAGCAUCCUGGGCUCAGCAUGGAGCCUCCUGGCUUCCCCAAACCACGCAUGGCUGAGCUUGCAGCCUUG